rnacentral:rRNA from 1 species
UACGGGAGGCAGCAGGGGGAAUAUUGCACAAUGGGCGCAAGCCUGAUGCAGCCAUGCCGCGUGUAUGAAGAAGGCCUUCGGGUUGUAAAGUACUUUCAGUCGUGAGGAAGGUGUUAAGGUUAAUAACCUUAGCAAUUGACGUUAGCGACAGAAGAAGCACCGGCUAACUCCGUGCCAGCAGCCGCGGUAAUACGGAGGGUGCGAGCGUUAAUCGGAAUUACUGGGCGUAAAGGGCACGCAGGCGGUUAAUUAAGUUGGAUGUGAAAUCCCCGGGCUUAACCUGGGAAUGGCAUUCAAGACUGGUUAGCUAGAGUCUUGUAGAGGGGGUAGAAUUCCAUGUGUAGCGGUGAAAUGCGUAGAGAUGUGGAGGAAUACCGGUGGCGAAGGCGGCCCCUGGGACAAAGGACUGACGCUCAUGUGCGAAAGCGUGGGGAGCAAA